GCCGACGUGGUGGAAUUGGUAGACACGCCGUCUUGAGGGGGCGGUGGCGCAAGCCGUGCGAGUUCGAGUCUCGCCGUCGGCACCA
rnacentral:tRNA from 3 species